rnacentral:lncRNA from 1 species
ACCUGUAUUUCUAGUUUCUUCAUUGUUAUCUUCAAGAGACUCACUGUUCAAGGAAUCAUUUGCCAAUUUCAACCUCUGGAUCUCAUCCUGUAGGAAUUUCAUCUCUUCCUUAUAACUAUCUAUUAAUGGCAGGUCAGCAACACCUUCAGACUCGCUUGUUACAAAAUUGUCAUCCUGUAGGAACUUAAUCUCUUCCUUAUAACUAUCUAUUGAUGGCAGCUCAGCAACACCUUCAGAAUCACUUGAUACAAAAUUGCGCGCAGAACGAGCACCCUCUAUAUGCAUUUUUAAUGAAGUUAUUUCAGCUCUGCAUUCAUUCAAUUCUUGUCUUUGCCUAUCUAGAGAUUGCUUCAAGGUUU